rnacentral:lncRNA from 1 species
AGAUUAGGUUGGAAGUCACCUGGGCUGAGCUGAUGGCUGAUUCCGUCAGCAAAAAGAACUGUGGAACAUACUGGCACUUGGGCCGGUGUGAAGCCACCCCCCUGCCAUGAAAAAUGGCUCUUCCCUGCCACAGCCGGCCCAGCGGGAGCCAGGUCAGGGCCUGGAGACACAGCGCCCCCCACCGGAGCCACUGCCCGGCCCAGCAGCACCUGCGGAGAAUCCCACCAGCUCCCACGCCUCCCGCCGCGCCACCGCCCCGGCUUUCUGCAAAUCCACCUUAUGGAAGCCGGAUAAGCACCUCCUCCUCUGAUGCGUCACAGUCACAGGUCCUGGUGAGGAGGGAGCCACGCCAAGCACAGCGGCUGGAACAGGGGCAAGUGGGUGCCCACCCCGAAGUGCAGGCAAUGAACUUGUGCUGUAGCCCAUGGUGAGCUGUGGGGCUGUUUGUGACUGCAGCGUAGCCAAGCCCAUCCCGCCUGAUGCGGCCUCUUCAUCCAGAGUGGGGGUGACGUGCCAGCCCCCACCUCACCGGAAUGCUGGGAGGAGCGUCUCCACGGAAGGAGCUCACUUUGUCAGCUGUAAUGUGCUGUGACUAUCGUGUGAGUUCCCGGGUCACUGUAACAAGUCCCACAGCCUGGGGGCUUCAACAGAGAGAGCCUGAAUGGCUCUCUCACCAUUCAGGAGGUGGAAUCCAGGGUCAGGGUGCGGCUCCGCUGGCUCCUGAGGCCUCUCUCCUUGGCUCUGUCUCCUGCUACUGUCCUCACAAGGCCAUCCCUCUGUGUGGGUCUGUGUCCUCAUCUCCUCUCCGUAUAAGGACACCAGGCAGAUUGGGCCAGGGCCACCCCACCAGCCUCAUGUUACCUUAACCACCUCUGUGAGGACCCCAUCUCCAAGUAAGGUCCCUUGCGGAGGCAUUGGGGCUUAGGGCUGCAGCAUACAGAUCUGGGGGAGACACACGGCCCCUAACAGUAUCAAGGGUGGGUGGGCCCUCAUAGGAUAGGACAGCCGCCCAGUGGGGAGACACGUGGCCCCUAACAGUAUCGAGGGUGGGUGGACCCCCAUAGGAUAGGACAGCCGCCCAGGGGGGAGACACGUGGCUCAUAACAGUAUUGAGGGUGGGUAGAGCCCGAUAGGAUAGGACAGCCUCCGGGGGAGACACGCGGCCCAUGACAGUCUCGAGGGUGGGUGGACCCCCACAGGACAGCCGCCGGACAUUUCCUCCUCUGCUAGUCUGAAAAUCACACUGUCUUAGGCAGACAGGGAAGAAUCAACAUUUCCAUGCCAGGCAGAGGCCCCCGGAGCGCAAAGGACCAGAGGAUCAAAGAGCAAACGUCACCCUCAGGGUCUAACGUGCAGGUGGCAGGACCCCGGCCCUUCCUGUGUAUCUGAUUGUGGGUUUUGUCUCUGCCACGUGCAGGGAUGGGUGCAGACUCCGUCCAAGGUCUUGGCAGGAAGAGAAAACUGCCACUGCAGAGGGGCUGGCUGAGGGGCUGGGAUGGGGUCCCCGGGGCGCGGAGCUGCACACCAGCCCCUCGCACCUAGGCAGAAGGUCCAUUGCCCUCUGCCCCGCAGCCUGCCCGUUCCCAGGCCAGCGAGGGCGCUCCCAGGCCGGUCUGCAGCCAGAACACAGCCCGUUCCAUGUGCUUGUCCUCGGGACACAUUAGGAAUGAACCCAGGCCUCAGUCCUGGCCUCCUCCUCAAGGCUGGGUGCUCAGACGUCCCCCUCAGCCCCUUUCUCUAGACCUUCCGGCUGAACAAACGAGAACAUCUCACAGCCCUGCAACAGCCAGGAGCUGCUCGUGGAGCUCCACGCCCGGCUGGAGAGAGAGGAGGCACCCUGGGCAGCCCGCCAGCACCCAGGCUCUCACAGUGGAAGCCCACGUCUUCUUGGGCUCUAUUUUGAAAGCUGUUCUUUCCACGACGGCUUUGACAAGAAUCGAUUUGAGUGAGCCGGCGUGUCAAUACAGGCCAGCACAGGACUGGCCUCAGGGCCACAUUGGGGAGGGUGGCGACCAGGCCCUGGCUGCAGCCCACGUGGGCAAAAGCAUGGCCAGGCAGGAGGUGGGGCCUGUGAGCUUGGCUACAGCGACCGUGGGCGCUGGGCCCGGGGCUCCUCAGCCCUGAGGGGAGACCCAGGCCCAGGCAGGCUCCCAGGCGGGCUCCCGGGCUCCCAGCCUUCCGAUCUUCUCCCUUUGAGACCUUGCCUUCUGCACAGUGACAGGAAAGAGCCCUGAGUCCCACUUUGCAGGGAUGUAUUGCAUUUCCAGAAAGUUCCUUCCGGGUGCAGAGUGAUACAUGAACCCUGGGGACUCACUCCAACUUGGUAUUGAUUUUCUCCACGGAGGACCCAGCAGUCACGGCCCGUGUCUGCACAGCCCCUUGGAUCCUGCGGAGGAAUUCAGCCGGCCCCUCCCCCUGUGCCGAAAACCACGGAGGCAAAGCCAGGCCAGGGUACAGUGAGAACACGGGAGAGGACUGAGAGACCGCUGGCUGCCGAGGGAGGAAGAGCAGGAUUCGCACCCCCGUCAUCGCUGGGCCCACACGCCGCCGACAGCUUCCGCGUGUGGCCAUCUGUCUUUCAGAAACCCUCUGGCAGAGGGACCCAGCAGAUGACACGGGGGCCGUUCACACUCUGAAACCUGCCUGGAGUCAAAACACUGCUGGCGAGCCUCCACCGCAAACCCAAUCCAGAUGGUCUUCCCUGGUGGCCCUCGGGGUGGCGGGCACCCUGCCCACUCCCUGCCAGCCCCUGCCCGCUGGACUCCAGGCCCGGCCGAGCCCCCGACCGGUCUCCUGACCCAGCAUGCUGCUCUCCCCUGGGCCCGGCUUUCUCGCCCGCUGGGACUCCCAGGCCCCUCCAGCCCAGCCCCGAGAGCAGGAGCCCCAAGGGAGGCUUGGCGGCUGUGGAGGCGAGUGGGCCACGUGUAGCUGGGAGGCCGGCAGGACCAGGAGCCCCUCACAGCGCAGCACCCACAGCAUCACGAGCCACUUCCACUCCUGGGUGGCCUGGGGGCCCCCACCCUGCUCUGAGCUGCCCCUUGUUGUGACCUGGGGUCCCCCGUGGUGGGCCCGCCCCUUGAGCCUGGGAUCCAGCCUCAGCGAGGCUCCAGAAGUGUCGUCUCCGCCGGCCAGGCGUCAGCGCCUCCACCCAGGAUCACACACUCCUAUCUCUGCACUUCUGCCCUCCAUCCUGCUCCACGCCGCCUCUGCUUGUUAUUCCAGCACAUUCCAGGGUGAUGCCUGCUGAAGCCACGCAGCCAGUGCCUCCACCCUACCCCCCAUCUGACCCACCGGCCCCUUCCGCACGCUGGAAGCCUGCCCGGCCUGAAGUGUCCUCACCUGUCGCCCUAUCCUCCCCUCCACUCCAGCCCACCGGUGACUCAGCCCUCACAGCUCUCUCCUCCCCGAGGGAGCCGGUGACUUGGCUCUGAUGGUGCCGGGACCCAGCCCCGGCAUGUUCAGAAUCCUUGUCCUUUAACCUGCGUCCACAUGUAGUCGCCUCCACCUCCCUGCCUGAACCUCCAGGCCCUGCAGAGCAAACACUGCUGCCUGCAGGAGACCCCUGGGGCCUUCUCCGUCCCCUCAUCCUCCUAAGGAGCCUCCCCUGCCACCGUGCCAGAAUGUGCCGGAGGAACAGAGGCCCGAGCCUCCCGUGGCCCCAGCGAGGCUUCCUCUGGGGAAGACAGUGAGCCCAACGCCCUGGCUCUCGAGGGGUGGACGGAGUCCAGCUGGCAUCGACCGGGUGCCCCUCUUCACCGGUGUCCACAGUCCUUGAGAGCAAAGGUGGUCCCAGCAGUGGAGCAGAGGGCAAGGGUGGGGCAUGUAGAGUCUCCAGGGAGCCACUGUUGGUUAGAGAGGGAGCCCGAAGUGGGCUCCGGACCCCAGCAGGGACAGCGUCCCCUUCCAGCGGGGGCAGCCGAUUGAUCUGGGCACACGAGCAGGAGGAGCGGCGCCACCCAGGGCUGACCUCACGGCCCUGCUCACGUCUCGGGGCAUUUUGGCAGACCCACCUAGACCUGGGGGACAGCCUGAUUUCCUGCAGCCAUGACCUACAAGGGUGGCAGCUCUCUCAGGCUUGAGUAACCAGGACACAGACCUGGGCCAUUUAAUGCGCAGGCAGCCCCAAGUCCCGGCAGGGCCAGAAGCAGAGACGGCGGCUGGGGAUGAAAGUGCACGCUGGUCCCAGAUGGGGCUGGGGGUGAAAGCUGCAUGCUGAUCCCUGGGCCCCCUCACUCUAUGAGCUCCUGAAAGGAGGGAAGCCCCCACACCCUACUGAGUGGAGUGCUCCUUGGCCUGGGACCCCGUCCAGUGUCUGCUGCUGUGGGGGCGGGCUCUGGGCAGAGAGAGGCCAGACAGGCACCCAGGAAAGCUGGAACACAUCCCUCCUGCUUCCCCCAGGGUUCCCAGAGGCGACCUCCCUCCUGCACAGGCAUUUGUCAUCCUUACCCUCUAGGACAGCUUUGCCAUGUGCAGUGAACCCCUGGACAGUGUUGCGUGCCACUUUGCCGGAUUUGGACUGUAUACAGACCGAAGCAUGUGGCAUGAAGCCUUCUGCUGUCAGCAAGUUCCUUGUCCCUCGACAGUAUGUGCCCAGGCUGCCCUUCAAGGUGGCAGUGAUGGCAGUUGUCUCUUGCACGCUGCGUACAGUUCUGUCACUGACUCUUACACACAGCCCUGGAGACGGGAGAGUGCCGGGAGCAUUCUAUGCAAGUGUCCUGGCCUUUGCGGGCGUCUCCACAGCACAAACACGAGUCAGGGACCACCCCUCUUCUGCUUCCAUGAUUCCACCAACUGGGUGGGGCAGAGCAGUGCCAGGGCCGGAGGCACGCCCCAGGUGAGGGCAGGUGGCCAUGCCAGUGAGUGCACUGCGUUCUCAGUUAAUUCAUCCGAAAUAUUUCUAAGUUUCUUGAUUAUUGCAGUUGCAUCCCCAAGAUAAUGCCGCCCUCACCAAGUAGAAGGCACAUGUGCUCUGAUGGCCCCUCCCACACUGGGGUCAGGGCACAGCAACUUAGCGAGGCGACGUGGGGGCUCAGAGGACCUCGGACCAGGCUCGGCACAUGGGGCUUCUCCAGCCAGCCAGGGGGAAGCACCCUGCAGACUGCUAACUUUUGCAAAAUAGAGUAAAAAAGAUCAGCUAGAAAAAUAAAACAA